rnacentral:rRNA from 1 species
GUGCCAGCAGCCGCGGUAAUACGUAGGGAGCAAGCGUUGUCCGGAUUUACUGGGCGUAAAGAGCGCGUAGGCGGAAGCUUAAGUGUGGCCUGAAAGCCCCCGGCUCAACCGGGGAGAGUGGCUGCAAACUGGGCUUCUUGAGGGGGAUAGAGGAAGGUGGAAUUCCGGGUGUAGCGGUGAAAUGCGUAGAGAUCCGGAGGAACACCAGUGGCGAAGGCGGCCUUCUGGGUCCGCCCUGACGCUGAGGCGCGAAAGCGUGGGGAGCGAACGGGAUUAGAUACCCCGGUAGUCC